rnacentral:rRNA from 1 species
UGGGGAAUUUUGGACAAUGGGGGCAACCCUGAUCCAGCAAUGCCGCGUGUGUGAAGAAGGCCUUCGGGUUGUAAAGCACUUUUGUCCGGAAAGAAAUCGCCCUGGCUAAUAUCCGGGGUGGAUGACGGUACUGGAAGAAUAAGCACCGGCUAACUACGUGCCAGCAGCCGCGGUAAUACGUAGGGUGCGAGCGUUAAUCGGAAUUACUGGGCGUAAAGCGUGCGCAGGCGGUUGUGCAAGACAGAUGUGAAAUCCCCGGGCUUAACCUGGGAAUGGCAUUUGUGACUGCACGGCUAGAGUGUGUCAGAGGGGGGUAGAAUUCCACGUGUAGCAGUGAAAUGCGUAGAUAUGUGGAGGAACACCGAUGGCGAAGGCAGCCCCCUGGGAUAACACUGACGCUCAUGCACGAAAGCGUGGGGAGCAAACAGGAUUAGAUACUCUGGGUAGUCCACGCCCUAAACGAUGUCAACUAGUUGUC